UACGGAGGGGCCUAGCGUUGUCCGGAUUUAUUGGGCGUAAAGAGCGCGCAGGCGGUCGUCCAAGUCGCGUGUGAAAGCCCCCGGCUCAACUGGGGAGGGUCACGCGAUACUGGUCGACUCGAAGGCAGGAGAGGGUAGUGGAAUUCCCGGUGUAGUGGUGAAAUGCGUAGAUAUCGGGAGGAACACCGGUGGCGAAGGCGGCUACCUGGCCCAACAUUGACGCUGAGACCCGAAAGCAUGGGGAUCAAACAGG
rnacentral:rRNA from 1 species